rnacentral:lncRNA from 1 species
UGGUAGAGGGUUCUACACGACUAGAGCUUUUGGUUUUAUCCUGGAGGUCACAGAGUAGAUUAAGAUGAUAUUUUCAGAUCAUUAUAUUAGAUGUCCUCCCAGCAGAGAAAACAAAGCAGCACACUUCUUAAGAAAGUAUUGGAAGAUUCCACCUACAGCGAUCUGGAAACCUGUGUGCAAAUGUAUAAAUUAAUUAGUAACAUAAAGAAGAAUGACUACAAAUGUAGAAAAUAUAGCUAUCGGUUUAAAUGUGUACCUUAAUCAUAAGCAUAUAAGGAAAAUUCUCAAAACCCAAGAUAAAAAGAAGUAAUUAAAUAUGAGAGCGGAAAAUAUGAGCAGACACUGAGAUUGCUGCAUGGGAGGGAGAAAAAGAUAGGGUGUGAAUAGUGGUGCAGGGUCUGAAGAAGAGGCCUCGGCCCAUACAUUUAGAAUAGAACCUGGGACAUUUGUAUAAAACCAGAUCCAAAAGGAGAGGAAUGACAAUAAAUCCACCCACUAGCCAGAAUCUCCUCUGUCUUAACCUGUGCUUUAGGUGGAGCGAGGGAUAGAGAGAGAAUAGGGGUUGAGUCCUCUGUGAACAUAGGGGCUGCUCUUGGUAAACUCCCAAGCUAAGUGGUCAUUAUAAAAAGUGGUCCCACUUGUUAUCACCUCCAGGGGAAGUAAAUGGAGACUCUACAAUUGGAGCUUUUAAAGGAUUGCUAUAGAUAAAAACCAAUGUAAGUACACUCACAAUCUAAAAAUAUAAAUCACAGUAAGAGGGAGUGUCUUCAGACCCAUGAAGCAGCAGAGCCAGAACCUAGAGAAGUUUAGCUAACAGAAGUUUUUUACUGGAUAGAGAUGGGGAAAAAAACCACAAUAUUUACAGGAAUUGGCACAUUCUAGAAGACAAUUAUAAACUUACAUGUAGAAUCACAGUGAUUUUCCUUUUUUAAUGAUCAUACCUCUUUAUUUUGGUAGGGGAAGGAAGUGUGGAGAGUAAAUAACUUUCCCACAGCAAUGCCAACUUUUAAAUAGAAUAGAGCAAGUAGAAUUCAGUUUGACCCUACAGUUUUAGGGCUGUCAUAUAAAGAAAUGUGGGAAGGAGGAAUUUGCUGACUCAUUGGUUGUACCAGAAAAAAAGAGUAUCAAAUAUCAAUAACCACAACAAACUGGGUAGGAGAUUGAGGUUCGCGGAAGUGCUGUUUAUGGAAGGAGGGAAGUGAUGUCAGAGAAAAUUAUGGUGUGAUUUCCGUACCCAAAGCAUUCUUGACUUUUAUCUACUGAACUGACAUUUACUAAGCAACUAUCACAGGCAAAACAAGGUUAGGCAGAGUCAUAGAUACAGAGAUAACGGAGUGAGUCAUGGUCUGUCAUUUAAGAAAUAAUGCAGUUUAACUAAUACUGCAGUUUCAGUAGAGAAAUAACUGAGUUAACCAAAGAAAACAGAAAACAUGUCACAACAUAGGGCGGGGAUAUAGCUAGUUAGACUUUUAUCCCAACAGAACAUUGGGACUGUCAUUAGGACAGCUCUCACCAAGACCAGAGGCAAGACCACUCUUCAUUUAAAGAUGGUACAAGAGAUCUGGGUUUCUUAAAUUGGACUUGCUCAUCCUUCCCACCCUGAAAUUAUAGAAAAGAUGACUUUCAGCACUGUUUAUGAAAGGACUCAUAUAUUUAAAACAAACAGGCAAAAUAUCAAUCCACCAGCUAACCUCAGGUUGAAACUUACUGACAGUCUGUAAAACUAGUAAUUAUUGUCACUUAAAAUUUUUCUGUGUCUUAUUUCUACCAGAUGGGUGAAGGAUUGCUUUAGAAAUGAAUUUUUUUUUUAAAUUGAAACAUUUAAUAACAUGGUUGAUCGCCAUCUCUUCACCUAUAGGUGCUUUGAUGAGGACACUAACAUCAGAAGCAAUAUUGCAAAGUCAUAAUAUGACCCUUUGGGCAGGUCAAUAUGGUGCUUGGGGGAUAAUCACUGUCAAGAGGUCAGAUUGAUACAUGGUUUCUAGUACAGUUGCUUGAGCAACAACUCCCAUUUAUAGGUUAUUAUAUACCCUCAUUUAUGGGGCUUUAUUAUGGAAGAGAAAUUUGGGGGGAAGGACAUGUUCUAGGGAAAACAACAAGUAACAACCAAACCUGGGAGUAUUUGAGCCAUUUCUGCUAGGAAUGUGAAUAAAGAACCUCAAAUCUAGGGUGCUGGAUGAACAAGAAAAUAGACACACACACACACACACACACACAUUUAUAUAUAUAUAGUGAGAAUUGAAAUUGCCAGCCUGCAUUUAGAAGGAGCACACUUUCCUAACCCAAAUUUUAGAACUCCAUAGGUGGAGAUGUCAGGACGGCAGAGAGCAUUGGUUGGCUUUUAUCUCCAUUCAGGUCUCCCUCCAAUUUAUAAAAUAUUUGGUCAGGAUUUACAAUACUCCUGACAAAGGAGGAGCUUCAGAGAAGCCUUUUGAAAGAGAAUGCCGGGCUGUUAGGGUUCGGGAAAUAAGAAGCCAGAGGUGAGGUUGACAGGUUGUGUAGGGGGAAACAGACAGACCUGACAGUUUAUUUUUAAGCAUUUCUAACUUUGGUGGAUCAAUUUUCUGAAAGGGUUUCCUUCCGAUUGUUCUUUUGAAAGUAAGAACUGCCAGGGCUACAACAGAAAGUUGACAUCUAUUCAGUUCGGCACUUAGAAAAAGCUAAGAGGGAAAAGAAAGACUUUCAAUUCCUGUUCCUUCUGUUUAUUGUGGUGUUCAAAGCAGUGAAUAGUAGAGUUGGUGCAGGAAGCCAUUUCCAUUAUGUCUCCUGCAGAGUUUCACUGCGUCUCAAUGAGUGGGGAGAGUCGGGAAGUAAAACUUUUUCCAACUGGGAGAGUUGGAAAGUGCAUUCUCACAGCACCCUCAGCUGGGAUAUCUGAUCUGGGCUUAAACCUAUGUGAUGAGAAAAAUAAAAUUAUGCUUUUUAGGUGGCUGCUAUAACAUAAUGCUAUCAGUGCUUAUUAUAUUAUUUUUCAAAAUCAAUUAUGCAUUUUCUUGUUAUCGCUUACCUUUCAGGAAUACAAUAUGGAAGGUAUUACCAGCUACUAGCCUGAAUUAGUGUACUUUACCAUGAAAUGCUCUGAGUAUUUGACUUGGCCAUUAUAAUUAGUCUUUAUCAUCAUAUAUAUUAUAUAACAGAUUUUAAAAAAAUAUAUGGGUCAAUUUUCUCCACUAAAUGAUAAGUGAAUGAACGGACACCUGAUAUUCUGUGUAGAGUGACCAGUGAGCUGCUUUGCAAGUAGUUCUAUAUUUAAUAAAUACUUAAUGAGUUGGACCUUUGCAAUCUUCCUCAUCACUUUUUGUACAGCUUUUGUAAUUCAAAUUGAGCACGCAAGGACAAUAUGAUGCUAAAAUAAGCAGGAGAAUUUUUUCAACUGACAAAGGGAUGGAGUUUGAAAUUUAACCAACAUUUAUUAAACAGAGGCUAAGCUAGGCUCUGGGGUUAUGGAGGUAAAUGAAACAAUCCAUGCCCUUUAGGAUUGUAACAGAUAAAAAGGACACAAAAGUGAAUAAUGCAAUAAGCAUAUGGCUAGAGAUCAAUAUAGAGCAGUAAACAUCAGUGAUAACUUUCCAGGUCCAAGCAACGCUAGCCAAAUUUGCCAUUAAGGUGGUGAAAUAAUCUGCUUUGGUCUGAAAGUCUAUUGAGAAGACCGCAGUGCGUAAAGGCAUUUGUAGGUCCUGAUACGUGACUCACUGAUGAAAGCUCUGGUUAAUUUGUGUCACAUCAGCAGUAUCAAAUUUCUCAAUAUGACCCUUGGAAAAGAAUAAUUCUAUUACAGUUUGGUUGGCAAAAGCUUAUACACUCCUCUUGGGCAGGGGACUAAAGAGGACACCGAGGAACUAAAGUAUUUGAUCAGUAUAACAAGAGCUACUGCUUAAAGAUGCACUCAGAAUGAUGAGAGCAACAGUUCUCAGAUGUGGUUGCCCACUGGAAUCAUAUGGAGAAUGUGAAAAGCAAUUAUGUCCUGUCUGCAUCUCUUGCUAAGUUAAUCACAGUCUCUGGGUUUUAUAAAGUUUACUAAAGUUCACGGAUGAUUCCCAUGUGGAGCCAUGGCUGAGAACUAGUAGGUUAGAAGCAUGCUUCUCAAGCUGUCAUAGGCUACCCAUCACCUGGGGGUCUUGGUGAAAUGCAGAUUCUGAUUCAGUGAGUCUGGGUUAGGGCUUGAGAUUCUGCAUUCCUAACAGGCUCCCAGGCAAUGUCUGUGUAGCUAUUGAGAAGUAAGAGGGUGUGGUUAUUCAGAAUUUAGGAAAGGUUCAAUUUGCUAGCUUUCCAAUCUCUGCCCAAACACUCAGGGUAAGGUAGUUGUAUUGGUCCUGAAACUUUGCUACAAUUUCUUUCUUUCUUGUCUUUCUUUCUUUUUUCUUUUCUUUCUCAAAGACCUGAUAAACAUAACAUAGGAUUUUGGGGAUUUGCCAUUAGGAGCUAAGAGUCUGGCUAUGGCUCAUUAAAAAUAUUCAACUCUGAGAUACAAUUUUUGAGGGAACUGGGGGGAAUUUGGAGGCCAAACUCCUAUCAUAUAGAAGUGAAUAAUUUAAGUUAUUGUGAGUUUUGGCGCUUACUCAAUCUUUAUGAAAAUGCCUAAGUUAGCUGUGUUGUGGAACUUUGCCUGAUUCUCAUAUAGUUAAACUCUCUCCUACAACCCUGGUAUAUAAUUUAAGAGAAUUGUAAGAGGGCAACAAUUGGGGUCUCUGGUAUCAGACUGCUGAAGUUCAACUCCUGAUUCAAUAGCAUUCUGAACAAGAACACCCAGCCUUUCUCAUUUUCUUGACAAUGGGGAUAAAAAUAAGACCUCUCACAAGUGGUUGCUAUGAGGAUCGAAUGAGGUGGCAUUUACAGGCACUGAGAAUAGCACCUGGCUAUCACCAACUCUGGAUAUAAUCUAUUACUGUCUCUCUUUCAUCAGCGAGACAGAACCUGAAAGGAAACAACCCAGGCUUUCACAAAACAGGCAGCCUUUUCGAGAAUAAAAGAUAUGGCCAUUCUUUGUUAGCAAAGUCCAUUAAUUUCCUCACUUCCAUUUAUUCCCCCAUGGCCAAUAUUUGCAGCUUAUAACUUGAGAGGGUCCAUCCAAUUAUUAAACACAUUCUUUAUUAAGCACCUACUACAAACCCAUCACUCUCUUAGAUGCUGGUGUCAAAGCAGUGAAGGAAACAGACUGAAAUUUCUUCUACUGUGAAGCAGAAAGUUGUUUUGUUUUUUCCCACAUUUAAAAAAAUCUGAUAAAUUUAUAUUUUAACCAUCUCAAUUCUUAAAACUAUAUUUUAAAAUAUAUUUAAAAUAUUUAAUAAUUUCAUUUCUUUUUUUUUUUUUAACCAGAGUUUCCCAGUAGGUGUGUAGGUAGAGAUAGCCUAUUUUCAAUGCUGGUACAAACUGUGAGCAGGACACUACUAGAAAAUAGGGAUUCAGUAUGAGAGUCUCUAGUUCCAUCCAUGUUGCUGCAAAUGGCAUUAUUUCAUUCUCUUUUAUGGCUGAGUAGUAUUCCAUUAUGUAUAUAUACCACAUCUUCCUAAUCCAAUUGUCUGUCAAUGGACAUUUGGGUUGUUUCCAUGUUUUGGCUAUUGUGAAUAGUGUUGCAAUGAACAUGUGGGUGCAUGUGUCCUUUUUAAGGAAGUUUUAUCUAGAUAUAUGCCCAAGAGUGGGAUUGCUGGGUCAUAUAGUAGUUCUAUGUAUAGAUUUCUAAGGUAUCUCCAUAUUGUACUCCAUAGUGGCUGUACCAGCUUACAUUCCCACCAACAGGGCAGGAGGGUUCCCUUUUCUCCACACCCCCUCCAGCAUUGUUAUAUUGGACUUAUGAAUGAUGGCCAUUCUUCAGAAUAGACUUGUGGUUGCCAAGGGUUGGGGAGCUUGGGGUUAAAAGACACAAACUAUUGCCUUUGGAAUGGAUUAGCAAUGAGAUCCUGCUGUGUAGCACUGGAAACUAUGUCUAGUCACUUACGAUGGAGCAUGAUAAUGUGCAAAAACAGAAUGUGUACAUGUAUGUGUAACUGGGUCACUAUGUUGUACAGUAGAAAACAAAAAAUUGUACUGGGGAAACAACAUUAAAAAA